rnacentral:pre_miRNA from 1 species
CUGCCGGCCGUCGGCAGAACCGUUACCAUUACUAAACUCAGUAAUGGUAACGGUUUCCCCGCCGGCCGCGGG